UACGUAGGGGGCAAGCGUUGUCCGGAAUCAUUGGGCGUAAAGAGCGCGUAGGCGGCCCUGUAAGUCCGCUGUGAAAGUCAAGGGCUCAACCCUUGAAUGCCGGUGGAUACUGCAGGGCUAGAGUGCGGAAGAGGCGAGUGGAAUUCCUGGUGUAGCGGUGAAAUGCGCAGAUAUCAGGAGGAACACCGAUUGCGAAGGCAGCUCGCUGGGACGUAACUGACGCUGAGACGCGAAAGCGUGGGGAGCAAACAGG
rnacentral:rRNA from 1 species